CCUACGGGAGGCAGCAGUGGGGAAUUUUGGACAAUGGACGCAAGUCUGAUCCAGCCAUGCCGCGUGUGGGAAGAAGGCCUUCGGGUUGUAAACCACUUUUGUCAGGGAAGAAACGGCUCGGGUUAAUACCUUGGGCUAAUGACGGUACCUGAAGAAUAAGCACCGGCUAACUACGUGCCAGCAGCCGCGGUAAUACGUAGGGUGCAAGCGUUAAUCGGAAUUACUGGGCGUAAAGCGUGCGCAGGCGGUUAUGCAAGACAGAUGUGAAAUCCCCGGGCUCAACCUGGGAACUGCAUUUGUGGCUGCAUGGCUAGAGUACGGUAGAGGGGGAUGGAAUUCCGCGUGUAGCAGUGAAAUGCGUAGAUAUGCGGAGGAACACCGAUGGCGAAGGCAAUCCCCUGGACCUGUACUGACGCUCAUGCACGAAAGCGUGGGGAGCAAACAGGAUUAGAUACCCUGGUAGUCCACGCCCUAAACGAUGUCAACUGGUUGUUGGGAGGGUUUCUUCUUCAGUAACGUAGCUAACGCGUGAAGUUGACCGCCUGGGGAGUACGGCCGCAAGGUUGAAACUCAAAUGAAAUUGACGG
rnacentral:rRNA from 1 species